AUGAAUUAGUACUUGAGGCUGAUCCUUCUGUUGCAAAGGAAGCUGGAUUGUUGUUGCAGAUGAGCAUGGAAAACGCUGUUUCUCUUCUUGUUCCACUGCAUGUGAAACUGAAGAUUGGGAGCACAUGGGGAUCGUUGGAGACUUUCCAGGCAAGAGAAUGAAUAGGUUUCUGUAAGUGUGGACAUCUGUUUGUAUAGUUUAAAACUGUCAGUUGCUUCAUGCUGCUCGAAGAGUAUGAACAGUGGAUAUUUUCAGUUUUCUCUCAAACAAGACAGUCUAUCUGACAGACUAAGCAAUGAUGUUCACAAGUCAUGCAUCCGUAUGUAACUUCAUGUGAAUUAGCUGCUCGCCAAGAUUAUAAUGUGCUCUUUGUUGGGAUGUCUCAUAGUGUCACAACUUAUGUACAAGCAAAUAUCUGAUUGAUGGAUCAGGUUACUUGAAGGAAGUGAGAAGGACGGAGGAAGGGGCUUUUCUCUUUAUUGGAAAAAUCUGCACUUGUUAGUGCUCUGAUAAUAACUUUCGAACUACAUGAAGUAACCAAUAUUGUGAUGAGGGUGCUCAGAACCAAGGCCCAUAUUCAGUACUUUUGAGAGCAUUAGAUGUCGAGGCUUUUUCCUGAUUGUCUCCCGAGCAUGCUGCUUCACCACAUUGUAAGCCGACAAGCAUCUUAGAGGGGGAAUGUGCUAAAUUAAUGGUGAUAAGUAUUUUACCUCACUCACGUAGACCUCAGAGAAAGCGGAUGCUGAAUAUUGAAGUGUCAAUUAAUGGCCGGGCAAUACCUAUCAUGAGAUCAAAAUAGUUGGUCCAAGUGGUGGAAGGCUUCUAGGUGCUCAAUGCUUGAUGCUUUAGUUUCAAAUCCUACUGGAGCCUUGUGGGGUGACUCAUGCUCUUUAGUUUUGCCAUGAAUGGUUUCAAUGUGGUUUAUUGGUCCCAAAAAAACCAAUAAAUAAGGGAAAAAUAAAAAGUUAGAGGGAACCAAGGAGCAUAGUAUAAUGACUUUUUCAUUGGCUAAGCCUUCAAAGCUUAGUCGAGGUGUUGACUAGUUCUUCAAUAAUCAGUCACUGCAAAAUCUGUUCUUUAUGGUCCCUGUUUUUUAUUAGUGUAGUUAUGUUUUACUUGGUCAAAGUUUUUUUUAAUUUUCUGAUUUCCAAUAGUGGGAAUGUUGGUGUUUAUGUCAUGUUACACCACUAGUUGUUAGUUCCUAUAUUUUAGUUUAAGUUGUUGAGGUGUAAGCCUAUAAAAGGGCAGUAGAUCUCUUAUUUUCUCUACAGUUGAAUGAAGAAGAAAAAGCAUUCUUUCUCACUUUGCCUACUUUCUUUUCUAAUACGAGGGCUCGGGACGGAUCUCCUGGAACAUUAUUGUGUUUUAUGGAUUGUUGUGCGAUGGUAUUGAAUGUCUGCUGGUGCUUCUGCUCUAUAUUUCCUGACAUCUAAUGUUUGUGGAAUUGGUUAAUGGUGUUUGAGAAUGUUAAUUGCUGUAUUUUUGUCUCUCUUAUGGAGGAACAGCGUGGGACCUGGAUUAUCCACAUGCUGUCACAUCGGUAACAGAGGAUAGAGAUAGAUCAAUCUAAGGGGGUUGGGGUCUGAAGGCAUGCUACAGUGUAAGCUACUUUCUUGGCAGUCAAAUUUGGAAUAUAGAGCCGCCCAGAAAGGCUGUUUUCAUUGCUUGGAAAGACCUCAUCGGUAAGUUACCGUGAUACGAGAUAACUAGGGAAAAUUCAAUUUUGAGUUGCAUUUCUCUCGGUUGGUGUUUGUAUUGAAAAGGUGCAUGGAUAAAAAUUCUGGCACUUUGAAUCUGCUUGGUGCUCGACGGAGACAAUUAGAGGAGUUUGAUGGCAAGUGGAAUCCAGAUUAAUUGAAGUCUACUUUUGCUUUAGUUCAGACUGUUGAUGUUUUUGUACCUAGCAGAGAGAUUGAAUAGUGUAAUGAAGAGAUUGGUAGAA